GACGAACGCUGGCGGCGAGCUUAACACAUGCAAGUCGAACGGAAAGGCCUUUUCGGAGGUACUCGAGUGGCGAACGGGUGAGUAACACGUGGGUGAUCUGCCCUGCACUCUGGGAUAAGCCUGGGAAACUGGGUCUAAUACCGGAUAGGACCGCACUUUAGUGUGUGUGGUGGAAAGUUUUUUCGGUGUAGGAUGAGCCCGCGGCCUAUCAGCUUGUUGGUGGGGUAAUGGCCUACCAAGGCGGCGACGGGUAGCCGGACUGAGAGGUUGGUCGGCCACAUUGGGACUGAGAUACGGCCCAGACUCCUACGGGAGGCAGCAGUGGGGAAUAUUGCACAAUGGGCGCAAGCCUGAUGCAGCGACGCCGCGUGGGGGAUGACGGCCUUCGGGUUGUAAACUCCUUUCGCCAGGGACGAAGCGUUUUGUGACGGUACCUGGAGAAGAAGCACCGGCUAACUACGUG
rnacentral:rRNA from 1 species